GUGCUCACUUUGGCAGCAUGUAUAAUAAAAUUGGAACGAUACAGAGAUUAGCAUGGCGCCUUCGCAAGGAUGACAUGCAAAUUCGUGAAGUGUUCCAUAUUUUU
ensembl:snRNA U6 U6 spliceosomal RNA